rnacentral:rRNA from 1 species
CAGCAGUAGGAAAUAUUGUACAAUGGGCGCAAGCCUGAUCCAGCCAUGCCGCGUGAGUGAAGAAGGCCCUCGGGUUGUAAAGCUCUUUUGUCCGGAAACAAAACCAUUCGGUUAAUAGCCGGGUGUUCUCUCGGUACCGGAAGAAUAAGCACCGGCUAACUUCGUGCCAGCAGCCGCGGUAAUACGAAGGGUGCAAGCGUUACUCGGAAUUACUGGGCGUAAAGCGUGCGUAGGUGGUUUGUUAAGUCUGAUGUGAAAGCCCUGGGCUCAACCUGGGAAUGGCACUGGAUACUGGCAAGCUAGAGUGUGGCAGAGGGUAGUGGAAUUCCUGGUGUAGCAGUGAAAUGCGUAGAGAUCAGGAGGAACAUCCGUGGCGAAGGCGACUGCCUGGGCCAACACUGACGCUGAGGCACGAAAGCGUGGGCAGCAAACAGGAUU